rnacentral:rRNA from 1 species
UACGGAGGGAGCUAGCGUUAUUCGGAAUUACUGGGCGUAAAGCGCACGUAGGCGGCUUUGUAAGUAAGAGGUGAAAGCCUGGAGCUCAACUCCAGAACUGCCUUUUAGACUGCAUCGCUUGAAUCCAGGAGAGGUGAGUGGAAUUCCGAGUGUAGAGGUGAAAUUCGUAGAUAUUCGGAGGAACACCAGUGGCGAAGGCGGCUCACUGGUCCGGUACUGACGCUGAGGUGCGAAAGCGUGGGGAGCAAACAGG